CUUAUGUAUCUCUCAAGAUACUGCACACAAUUUAUCAGUACUCUAACUCUUAUCUCUUCGGCUUACAACAAAAUCUUCUUCAAGUUAGCUUGCAUGAGACUAGGUUUUACCGUGUCUAGUAUUUUCUUCAAUAUUCGCAUUCUCCAGUUUUUCCCGAAAUAAAGACUAAAACCAACUGCAAGAACGAAAUAACUUAUAGCAUUCAGUAAAGACUCGUUGUUGUACCGUUAGCUGUUGACAACCAACAAAGUCGACAACUGGCAAAGCAACACCCACUUCCUCUGGAAGGAAAACUAACGGAGAAACCGUAGAACAGACAUAUAUAAAAUCACAAAAGUUUGCAGACCAAUGAUGAACCUCUGAAUCACGGCAGCAAGUCAGCAGCGCGGAGAUGGUGUCUUCUACAUCGGCCGGGCGAUACAUUGAUACAGACAGCGAGGGCGCGUGUUGCUGAGGUACAAUGAGGGAAACACAAUACAGCAAGGAGGGCAAUUCCCAAGUCGUUAUCUACCCACGCAUCCUGCAGAAGAAUAGUAUACACCCAGCAGCUGUUUGGCAGGAAACAACGAAAGUGGAGUCCGAACAAUUAGAGACCUCUUUCUCAUUCAUCAGGAAAGCCAAAUGAAGAGGCAACAUCCGCAAGAUACACUUUGAACUCUGAAACAGCAUUCCCAAAAAUAUAAAUAAGCAUAAGUUUGCAACAAUAGCUGAUUCUAUGUGAAUCAUGACUAAACUAUUUUAUUAUACCUCUAUCUUUC